GUGGUGUAUGAAAGAAAGUUAGCGUUCCCCUUGAAAAGGAUGGAAGAGGCCCUUGGGCCUAAAAACACAAAUAUGGUUAAGGCAUUGCCACCUACUUUGUGGCAUCUAACCACUGAUUUUU